AUUGAACGCUGGCGGAAUGCUUUACACAUGCAAGUCGAACGGUAGAGGGGGCAACCCCUCGAGAGUGGCGAACGGGUGAGUAAUAUAUCGGAACGUGCCCAGUCGUGGGGGAUAACGUAGCGAAAGUUACGCUAAUACCGCAUACGAUCUAAGGAUGAAAGCGGGGGAUCGCAAGACCUCGCGCGAUUGGAGCGGCCGAUAUCAGAUUAGGUAGUUGGUGGGGUAAAGGCUCACCAAGCCAACGAUCUGUAGCUGGUCUGAGAGGACGACCAGCCACACUGGAACUGAGAAACGGUCCAGACUCCUACGGGAGGCAGCAGUGGGGAAUUUUGGACCAUGGACGCAAGUCUGAUCCAGCCAUUCCGCGUGCAGGAUGAAGGCCCUCGGGUUGUAAACUGCUUUUGUACGGAACGAAAAGGUCUCUCUUAAUACGGGGGACUCAUGACGGUACCGUAAGAAUAAGCACCGGCUAACUACGUGCCAGCAGCCGCCGUAA
rnacentral:rRNA from 1 species